rnacentral:rRNA from 1 species
AUUGAACGCUGGCGGCAGGCCUAACACAUGCAAGUCGAGCGGAUGACGGGAGCUUGCUCCUUGAUUCAGCGGCGGACGGGUGAGUAAUACCGAGGAAUCUGCCUGAUAGUGGGGGACAACGUUUCGAAAGGAACGCUAAUACCGCAUACGUCCUACGGGAGAAAGCAGGGGACCUUCGGGCCUUCCGCUGUCAGAUAAGCCUAGGUAGGAUUAGCUAGUUGGUGAGGUAAUGGCUCACCACGGCGACGAUCCGUAACUGGUCUGAGAGGAUGAUCAGUCACACUGGAACUGAGACACGGUCCAGACUCCUACGGGAGGCAGCAGUGGGGAAUAUUGGACGAUGGGCGAAAGCCUGAUCCAGCCAUGGCGCGUGUGUGAAGAAGGUCUUCGGAUUGUAAAGCACUUUAAGUUGGGAGGAAGGGCAGUAAGCUAAUACCUUGCUGUUUUGACGUUACCGACAGAAUAAGCACCGGCUAACUCUGCGCCAGCCGCCGCAGUAAAAC